rnacentral:tRNA from 1 species
GGUGCUGUAGCUCAGUGGUAGAGCACUUGCCUAGCAUGUGUGAGACACUGGGUUCAAUCCUUAGCACCA